rnacentral:rRNA from 1 species
CAGCAGCAGCCACGGUAAUACAGAGGGUGCGAGCGUUAAUCGGAUUUACUGGGCGUAAAGCGUGCGUAGGCGGCUUUUUAAGUCGGAUGUGAAAUCCCUGAGCUUAACUUAGGAAUUGCAUUCGAUACUGGGAAGCUAGAGUAUGGGAGAGGAUGGUAGAAUUCCAGGUGUAGCGGUGAAAUGCGUAGAGAUCUGGAGGAAUACCGAUGGCGAAGGCAGCCAUCUGGCCUAAUACUGACGCUGAGGUACGAAAGCAUGGGGAGCAAACAGGAUUAGAUACCCCCGUAGUCCCUGUCUCUUAUAC